CCUACGUGAGGCAGCAGUGGGGGAUAUUGCACAAUGGGGGAAACCCUGAUGCAGCGACGCCGCGUGUGGGAAGACGGUCCUCUGGAUUGUAAACCACUGUCCCCAGGGACGAAGAUGACGGUACCUGGGGAGGAAGCUCCGGCUAACUACGUGCCAGCAGCCGCGGUAAUACGUAGGGCGCGAGCGUUGUCCGGAAUUACUGGGUGUAAAGGGAGCGUAGGCGGGGAUGAUAGAUGGGGGUCAAAACUACCGGCUCAACUGGUAGUCGCACUCAAAACUGCAGCUCUUGAGUGAAGUAGAGGCAGGUGGAAUUCCUAGUGUAGCGGUGAAAUGCGUAGAGAUUAGGAGGAACACCAGUGGCGAAGGCGGCCUGCUGGGCUUUUACUGACGCUGAGGUGCGAAAGUGUGGGGAGCAAACAGGAUUAGAUACCCGGGUAGUC
rnacentral:rRNA from 1 species